GUAGGUAGAGCACAUCCUUGGUAAGGAUGAGGUCCUCAGUUCAAUUCUGGGUAUCAGCACCA
rnacentral:tRNA from 1 species